CUACGGGCGGCUGCAGUGGGGAAUAUUGCACAAUGGGCGAAAGCCUGAUGCAGCAACGCCGCGUGAGGGACGGCGGCCUUCGGGUUGUAAACCUCUUUUAGCAGGGAAGAAGCGAAAGUGACGGUACCUGCAGAAAAAGCACCGGCUAACUACGUGCCAGCAGCCGCGGUAAUACGUAGGGUGCAAGCGCUGUCCGGAAUUAUUGGGCGUAAAGAGCUCGUAGGCGGUUUGUCGCGUCUGCUGUGAAAAUCCGAGGCUCAACCUCGGACCUGCAGUGGGUACGGGCAAACUAGAGUGCGGUAGGGGAGAUUGGAAUUCCUGGUGUAGCGGUGGAAUGCGCAGAUAUCAGGAGGAACACCAAUGGCGAAGGCAGAUCUCUGGGCCGUAACUGACGCUGAGGAGCGAAAGCGUGGGGAGCGAACAGGAUUAGAUACCCCCGUAGUC
rnacentral:rRNA from 1 species